UGGCGGCACUAGCGCGGUGGUCCCACCUGACCCCAUGCCGAACUCAGAAAGUGAAACGCCGUUAGCGCCGAUGGUAGUGUGGGGUCUCCCCAUGCGAGAGUAGGGAACUGCCAGGCA
rnacentral:rRNA from 1 species